rnacentral:rRNA from 1 species
ACGAACGCUGGCGGCAUGCUUAACACAUGCAAGUCGAACGCUCUUUCCGGUUCGCCGGGGGGGGAGUGGCGCACGGGUGAGUAGCGCGUGGGAACCUGCCCUGAAGUGGGGGAUAACCGAGGGAAACUUCGGCUAAUACCGCAUACGCCGGGGGUAACUCCGGGAAAGAUUUAUCGCUUCAGGAGGGGCCCGCGUCGGAUUAGCUAGUUGGUGGGGUAACGGCCUACCAAGGCAGUGAUCCGUAGCUGGUCUGAGAGGAUGAUCCGCCACACUGGGACUGGGACACGGCCCAGACUCCUACGGGAGGCAGCAGUGGGGAAUAUUGGACAAUGGGCGCAAGCCUGAUCCAGCAAUGCCGCGUGAGUGAGGAAGGCCUUAGGGUUGUAAAGCUCUUUCACCCACGACGAUGAUGACGGUAGUGGGAGAAGAAGCCCCGGCUAACUUCGU